UUUAAUGUUUGAUGUUCUAACGUGGACCCGUGAUCCGGGUUGCGGACAGUGUCUGGUGGGUAGUUUGACUGGGGCGGUCUCCUCCUAAAGAGUAACGGAGGAGCACGAAGGUUGGCUAAUCCUGGUCGGACAUCAGGAGGUUAGUGCAAUGGCAUAAGCCAGCUUGACUGCGAGCGUGACGGCGCGAGCAGGUGCGAAAGCAGGUCAUAGUGAUCCGGUGGUUCUGAAUGGAAGGGCCAUCGCUCAACGGAUAAAAGGUACUCCGGGGAUAACAGGCUGAUACCGCCCAAGAGUUCAUAUCGACGGCGGUGUUUGGCACCUCGAUGUCGGCUCAUCACAUCCUGGGGCUGAAGUAGGUCCCAAGGGUAUGGCUGUUCGCCAUUUAAAGUGGUACGCGAGCUGGGUUUAGAACGUCGUGAGACAGUUCGGUCCCUAUCUGCCGUGGGCGCUGGAGAACUGAGGGGGGCUGCUCCUAGUACGAGAGGACCGGAGUGGACGCAUCACUGGUGUUCGGGUUGUCAUGCCAAUGGCACUGCCCGGUAGCUAAAUGCGGAAGAGAUAAGUGCUGAAAGCAUCUAAGCACGAAACUUGCCCCGA
rnacentral:rRNA from 4 species